rnacentral:rRNA from 1 species
UACACUCCUACGGGAGGCAGCAGUGGGGAAUUUUGGACAAUGGGCGAAAGCCUGAUCCAGCCAUGCCGCGUGCAGGAUGAAGGCCUUCGGGUUGUAAACUGCUUUUGUACGGAACGAAACGGCCUUUUCUAAUAAAGAGGGCUAAUGACGGUACCGUAAGAAUAAGCACCGGCUAACUACGUGCCAGCAGCCGCGGUAAUACGUAGGGUGCAAGCGUUAAUCGGAAUUACUGGGCGUAAAGCGUGCGCAGGCGGUUAUGUAAGACAGUUGUGAAAUCCCCGGGCUCAACCUGGGAACUGCAUCUGUGACUGCAUAGCUAGAGUACGGUAGAGGGGGAUGGAAUUCCGCGUGUAGCAGUGAAAUGCGUAGAUAUGCGGAGGAACACCGAUGGCGAAGGCAAUCCCCUGGACCUGUACUGACGCUCAUGCACGAAAGCGUGGGGAGCAAACAGGAUUAGAAACCCGAGUAGUCCCAUGA